UAUGGCAGAAACCAACAGAAAAUGGAAAAACAAUUUUUCCCGAUGAAAAAAUUUUUGAAAGAAAUGAUACUAAAGCUAUUUGAAUGCCUUUUUGUAUGCAAAGACCUAGUUCCACAUUACUCUUUUCAGUUUUUCAGCAGAAUUCGAAAAUUGGCGUGACAAGAGGUUUAGACAUCUUUUAAAAAUUGCGUUCUAGAAACAUCUAUUUAUGUAUGUGUGUACUGCUCACUAGCCUUCAUUUAAUUGCCAUACUUUGAAAAAAAUUUGUUCUGGAAGGAAUUGUUUUAUUUUUUGCUUUGAGACCAAUAUUUUAUGUUUUGUGUUUUUAUUCAUUACGGAAUCUGAGCUGUGUGUCCUCCGGUUGAUACUCGAAGACUCAAAGGGAUCAUUCAGCAGCUGUGGAACUUUUUCUAUUCUGCCAGAAUGUUCAUGGGCUCCUCUGCCUGCAGUUGCAGCAUGAAGACCGCCUGAAGGCAGAGAGCGGCGGAGUCAUCAGGAAGGGGAACCCUCUCCAGGGCCCUAGAGUGGGCUCACACGUGCUGACAAAGCAAGAGACUUGGCUGGAGGGGCGCCCGGGAGGACAGCAGCAGGCUAGGGCAUGGAGGAGAAAUAUACUUCCAUGUUUGCUUACAGGGAACUCUAGAAGGACCCGUAAGAAACAAAACACUACCUGCGGAGGGCAGACGGCCCUGGGCACACAGGCUAAACGACAGGAGGCACAAAUUAAGGCGAGUAUAUAAUAUAUCUCUA